AUUUUCUUAGUAUAAAAGUACAGGUGACUUCCAAUCACUCAGUCUCGGUUCAAAUCCGGGAGAAAAUA
rnacentral:tRNA from 1 species